rnacentral:tRNA from 1 species
CAUUAGAUGGCUGAAACAUUAAGCAUUGGUCUCUUAAACCAAAACAUAGUAUAGUAAUAUAUACUUCUAAUG